rnacentral:rRNA from 1 species
GAUAAACGCUGGCGGCGCACAUAAGACAUGCAAGUCGAACGGACUUAACCAUUAGUUUACUAUUGGAGCGGUUAGUGGCGGACUGGUGAGUAACGCGUAAGCAAUCUGCCUAUCAGAGGGGAAUAACAGUGAGAAAUCACUGCUAAUACCGCAUAAGCCCACAGCUCGGCAUCGAGCAGAGGGAAAAGGAGUGAUCCGCUUUGAGAUGGCCUCGCGUCCGAUUAGCUGGUUGGUGAGGUAACGGCCCACCAAGGCAACGAUCGGUAGCCGGACUGAGAGGUUGAACGGCCACAUUGGGACUGAGACACGGCCCAG